AGGAAGCGAGAAGUCGACGCGCCGCAAGGCGUCCGGCCCUCCGCGAGCGCCCGCGGGGGUUCGGGACACGGACCCGGUCCGAUCCCGUUCCCACCGAGGGGCUGUCCGCGCUUACAUGGAGGUGUCCUCGGACGGCGUCGUCUCUCUCCGGUCCGCGACGCUACGGCUUGGAUGGUCCACCCGACCCGUCUUGAAACACGGACCAAGGAGUCUAACAUGCGCGCGAGUCGUUGGGUCUGAAGCGCUACGCUAAACCCAUAGGCGCAAUGAAAGUGAAGGCCGCCGUUCAGGCGGCCGAGGGAGGAUCGGGCUGCGGCCCUCGCACUCCCGGGGCGUCUGAUCUCUCAUCGCGAGAGGAGGCGCACCCAGAGCGCACACGUUGGGACCCGAAAGAUGGUGAACUAUGCCUGGCCAGGACGAAGUCAGGGGAAACCCUGAUGGAGGUCCGUAGCGAUUCUGACGUGCAAAUCGAUCGUCGGAGCUGGGUAUAGGGGCGAAAGACUAAUCGAACCAUCUAGUAGCUGGUUCCCUCCGAAGUUUCCCUCAGGAUAGCUUGCGCUCGGAGGAGAGUCUCAUCCGGUAAAGCGAAUGAUUAGAGGCCUUGGGGCCGAAACGGCUUCAACCUAUUCUCAAACUUUAAAUGGGUGAGAGCUCCGGCUUGCUCGAUUCACGAAGCCGGAGACUGGAUCGGAGUGCCUAGUGGGCCACUUUUGGUAAGCAGAACUGGCGCUGUGGGAUGAACCAAACGACGGGUUAAGGCGCCCGAAUCGACGCUCAUGGGAAACCAUGAAAGGUGUUGGUUGCUUAAGACAGCAGGACGGUGGCCAUGGAAGUCGGAAUCCGCUAAGGAGUGUGUAAUAACUCACCUGCCGAAGCAACUAGCCCUGAAAAUGGAUGGCGCUGAAGCGUCGUGCCUAUACCCGGCCGUCGCGGCAGGGCGGGACCCCUCGCGGGUUUCCGUUCGAUGCGGCGACGAGUAGGAGGGUCGCGGCGGCGUGCGCAGAAGGGUCUGGGCUCGAGCCUGCCUGGAGCCGCCGCCGGUGCAGAUCUUGGUGGUAGUAGCAAAUACUCCAGCGAGGCCCUGGAGGACUGAUGUGGAGAAGGGUUUCGUGUGAACAGCCGUUGCACACGAGUCAGUCGAUCCUAAGCCCUAGGAGAAAUCCGACGCCUACGGCGACGGGACGAAAUUUUUUCUUGAGCAAAGAAACCCGUUGAUCGGGCGAAAGGGAAUCCGGUUCCUAUUCCGGAACCCGGCAGCGGAACCGCUGUUUGUCGGGCCCUCAAAAGGGGUUCGUCAGGGUAACCUAAAAGGGCCCGGAGACGCCGUCGGGAGCCCCGGAAAGAGUUUUCUUUUCUGCAUGAGCGUUCGAGUUCCCUG
rnacentral:rRNA from 1 species